rnacentral:lncRNA from 1 species
AAAACAAUCCAUGGGUUCAAAGCAAAGAUAGCGUAAAACAUCCCUUAUCCAGUAAACUAAAAUCAUUACGUAGCAUAGAACAAAAUUCACUUUAAAAUCAUUCAUUGUUUAGGUUGGUUAAAACAAACACUAUAUGGCCUUCUCAAACUACAUACAAUCCAAACAUUUACAAAGUAACUUUAGAAAAUGUAUUAUCCACACACAUACCAGUUAUAGAUAUGAAAUAAGUGAACCUUUUAUUGGGUAUAGUUUAAGACAUACAUAUAUUUUUUCAAAAUAAUUAAUUUACCACACUAACUAUUACAAAAAGUUUUA